rnacentral:lncRNA from 1 species
UGGAAGACCGCCCAGGAAGCCCUCCCGCUUGGUGAAAACCGGGAGAAAAGGAGAAUGUUUGAUCACACAGCAUGCACCUUCUGUGGCGACAGGGAAACAGCAAUUCACCUCUUUGCGCUGUGUCCGUUCAUAUCUAAAAUAUGGGACCUAGUCCCCUUGCAACACAGACCAACCUUCGCCGCAAACAGGUCGUUUGCUAGCUACCUCCAAGCGUCAAAGAAAUUCAUCUGCCUUCCCCC